UACGUAGGGGGCGAGCGUUGUCCGGAUUUAUUGGGCGUAAAGAGCUCGUAGGCGGCUUAGUAAGUCGGGUGUGAAAACUCCAGGCUCAACCUGGAGACGCCACCCGAUACUGCUGUGGCUAGAGUCCGGUAGGGGAGCGUGGAAUUCCUGGUGUAGCGGUGAAAUGCGCAGAUAUCAGGAGGAACACCAAUUGCGAAGGCAGCUCGCUGGGACGUGACUGACGCUGAGACGCGAAAGCGUGGGGAGCAAACAGG
rnacentral:rRNA from 1 species